rnacentral:tRNA from 1 species
GAGGGUAUAGCUCAGUGGUAGAGCGCAUGCUUAGCAUGCACGAGGUCCUGGGUUCAAUCCCCAGAACCUCCA